GGGCUGGUGGUCUAGUGGUAUGAUUCUCGCUUUGGGUGCGAGAGGUCCCGGGUUCAAUCCCCGGCCAGCCCC